rnacentral:ribozyme from 12 species
UUCAAAGGGCUUUUUUUUUUUUUUUUUUUUUUUUGUUCUUACGUAUUGUAGUUGGAUUUAAAAGGCACAAGGAGGAAUUGGCUACUUCACAGAUGUCCUCAAGGGAGAUUUAAGUUGAUGAACUUAUUACUACUUCUU